CUAUAACAAACACUCAAGAUAGACUUAUAAAGAAUAAGUUUUAGUUUUUUGGGUUUUUUUUGGGGGGGGUUGAGACAGGGUCUCACUAUGUAGUUGAGACUGACCUGUAACUCACUAUGUAGCCUAGGCUGGUCUCAAAUUCAAAGCAAUCCUCCUGCCUCAGCCUGCCAAGUGCUGGGAUUACAGGCAUGAGCCACCACACCCAGCUAAGAAUAAGUUUUAGCUUAUAAUUUUGGGGGUGUUUAGUCAAUGAUCAAUUGGCCUCAUGCUCUGGACCUAUGGUGAGGCCCCACACCAUCACAGAAGCAUAACGGCAGAGAAAAAUUACUUGCAUCAUAGCCAGGAAGUAAAAGAAGAGAAGAGGAAGGAACUAAAGUCCAAUAUUCCCUUUACAGUAACAUCUCCAAUAACCCAAAGACCUCCCGUGAGGCUGCACCUCUGACGAGUAGAUUGUACAGCAUUAGAUGACAGCACACAGCAGCGAGCACACAGAAAUCCCUGCCAUCAUGGAGUGUCUAUUCCAACAGUGAGGACACCCACAAUGGCUUGUCUUGCUAGUUGAAAACCGUGACACAGAGAUCAACUCCAGAGGUGGCCGUGGACGGGGCUGUCUGGAAGUCAUACAAAGCUGUACUGAUGGGUAACUGUCAACAUGAUCUCAAUGCAGGACACUGCCUUUCUAAACAAGUGGCAUCACAUUAUCGGAGCAAGGAAAGUGCUCUUGUGGUUGUGAGAGGAGAAGCAACGACAGUGAUGUUGUUCAAUAGUUCAGCAAGUGUGGCCAACUGGUCACUGUGAAAUUGAGUUCUUAGAAGAAAAGACAGGAACUUUCUCUAAAAGAAAUGAUAAUGUUUCCAAAUUUGAUGACAAGAGCUAGUCAGCUAUGGAAAAGUGUCCACUUAUAAAAACAACAUACACAUCUAUGCAUCAGAAAAUUCAAAAUGGUGGAGAAUCCAAAGACUAUGGAGUAUGAAAGCCCUUUAGUCUUGGUGGCAGCUGUGGAAUGCAUGAGAGAGUUCAGGCUGGAGAGAGGACCUAUGAACAUUACUAAGAGGGAUAUGUCCUGUUGCACACUAGGCUGUGUGUGCACAGAAUAUCUGCCAGCACGCAGUGUGAGCCACACAGAACACCUCCUCCAAGUCACACCUUCCUCGGGCAUGACAGAAAGCAGGAGAAGCACCGGAUCAAAGUUACAUCACCCCGUGUGAAUCAAGAGGAGUACUUCUAUUUUUUCCUCAGCUGUGGUAUUCUCCUAGAGACAG
rnacentral:lncRNA from 1 species